GAUGAACGCUGGCGGCGUGCCUAAUACAUGCAAGUCGAGCGAAUGGAUUAAGAGCUUGCUCUUAUGAAGUUAGCGGCGGACGGGUGAGUAACACGUGGGUAACCUGCCCAUAAGACUGGGAUAACUCCGGGAAACCGGGGCUAAUACCGGAUAACAUUUUGAACCGCAUGGUUCGAAAUUGAAAGGCGGCUUCGGCUGUCACUUAUGGAUGGACCCGCGUCGCAUUAGCUAGUUGGUGAGGUAACGGCUCACCAAGGCAACGAUGCGUAGCCGACCUGAGAGGGGGAUAGGCCACACUGGGACUGAGACACGGCCCAGACUCCUACGGGAGGCAGCGGUAGGGAAUCUUCCGCAAUGGACGAAAGUCUGACGGAGCAACGCCGCGUGAGUGAUGAAGGCUUUCGGGUCGUAAAACUCUGUUGUUAGGGAAGAACAAGUGCUAGUUGAAUAAGCUGGCACCUUGACGGUACCUAACCAGAAAGCCACGGCUAACUACGUGCCAGCAGCCGCCGUAA
rnacentral:rRNA from 1 species